UGAUAUCGUGUUGGCCAUUAAACUCUCCAGAUAGCUGCCAAGGCUGACUCCCUUCACGGUGAUGACAGCUUCCUGGGUGAGCACGGUCCUGCAGGAGAGCGCGCUGGAGACUGCCCACACUCUCACAACUCCACACCUGCACUUACUGGAGCCAGAGCAGAAGGAACGCCGAGGCCCGCGCAUCCUGGCCGCUGUUCUGGAGACACCACCCUCCCUCCACACCCCACACAAACCUGAGCCUGGCUCAUGAGCAGUCACCACUGUAUUUGCAAUGUUUUUAUGCAAGACGCUGUGUUUAAUAAACCUUAUUUUCUUUCCUUGAUCCUCAA